rnacentral:rRNA from 1 species
CCGGCGCACGGGUGAGUAACACGUAUCCAACCUGCCGUCUACUCUUGGCCAGCCUUCUGAAAGGAAGAUUAAUCCAGGAUGGCAUCAUGAGUUCACAUGUCCGCAUGAUUAAAGGUAUUUUCCGGUAGACGAUGGGGAUGCGUUCCAUUAGAUAGUAGGCGGGGUAACGGCCCACCUAGUCAACGAUGGAUAGGGGUUCCGAGAGGAAGGUCCCCCACAUUGGAACUGAGACACGGUCCAA